UUUAUGUUCUAGCCUACCUCCCAGCAAGGCUUCUCUUGAACCAUGCUCCAGAUUGUGCAAAAAUACUGGGCUUACUUGGAGAAGUGCACUGAGGGCGUAUGAUGAAAAGUGGGGAGGAAGUGACUCAGAGCACCGGAUGAGCUGAGACAGAUGUUUGGUGAGAGGGAAGGAGUGGGAACUUGCAGAUGAGACCUAGCUCCCCUCCGUGCUGGAGUUCCAAAGUGUUGGAGUCAGCCCUUCUUUGCUUUGGUCGGGAGGCAAAUCUUGCAAGACGUUGCACUGAAAUAAGUAAUUAAGGCUCUGCUUUCUCAAUAGGAAGAUGUUUCACUUCUCUGAUUCCUUAAAGUGCUGAAAUCCCUGGUUUGAUGGAAGGAACAGGAUAUGGAGACAUUUCCAGGGUGUUUUCUUAUUUCAGCAAUAGCUGAUAUGUGACUAGGAAUCAGCCCUGCUCCUUAGACCGGAACAAACAAGGCCUGUCUGGCAUGGGGAAAUAACAGCCUACGGCUGUUAGCAAUAUAGGGCUAAGAGCACAAGUGGUACAUCAUCUGUAUGAAUCUGGAAGAGAAAGUUCUGCCAGUCCUGAAGACUGAAAAAUCAUUUCUUAACCCAUUGGCCACAAAUCAUAUGACUACAAAAGAAAUGCAUUUGCUUAGGUGGUUUUGCUCUGUAACAAUAAUGGCUAGAAUAUGACAUUUUAAAGAACUGUGUGGUUCCAGAAGCUGAGGCAGAAGUACUAUAAACAUCACUUAAUUUGGGAACUUGGCAAUACUGAGAACACUUUCAGUGAAGAAAUGAACAAGAUGGAAAAAUUCUGGUAAUUACAAUUAAAUUGGCUUUUUAUGUUUUAAUCAGGUCACAUUUUCUAAACUACAUACUGGUGAAUAUAAGUGGUGACUUGAUAUUUGCAUCUCUCCAGUGCUGGGCAAGCUUGUCUGAGCAGCAACAAGAAAGAAGCAGUAAGUUAAAAGCUCAAAAAUAGUAAUUUGUGCACUAGCAAUGACAUGUUUUCUCACACAGCUCUGUUCUUUCUUUAGAAACUGCUGCUGCAGGUAUUUAGGAUGAAAAUGCUAAAAUCCUUACGUAGAAUGAAACAGCACUAAAAUCCAGGAAAUACUGCAACUUCAAUUUUGAUGAGACAAAAGCUUCCCACUUUGGGAUUGUUUUUGAAACCUUGUGCUCUUUGAUUAUGAUAGCAAAUUAUGUCUGAAACUCUGAAAAGAGCAGCUGUUUACCCUGAUAAUAGCUAUAAAUUCUAACACUUACUAAUGAGUGUGUUACUUUUGUCAGUAAGGGUACAGCAGAAGUACAGCAGUUUUCUUCCCAAAAAAUCAUUUUGUUGAUAUAUUGUUGUGAUUCAAAUCACUGAUUAAACUGAGUACAACUUUA